rnacentral:rRNA from 1 species
GAAUCAGCCGUACUCCGAAUGCAUCUAGAUGUUUUAUGAUCAUGGCUCAGAUUGAACGCUGGCGUGNCAGGCCUAACACAUGCAAGUCGAGCGGAUGACGGGAGCUUGCUCCUUGAUUCAGCGGCGGACGGGUGAGUAAUGCCUAGGAAUCUGCCUGGUAGUGGGGGACAACGUUUCGAAAGGAACGCUAAUACCGCAUACGUCCUACGGGAGAAAGCAGGGGACCUUCGGGCCUUGCGCUAUCAGAUGAGCCUAGGUCGGAUUAGCUAGUUGGUGAGGUAAUGGCUCACCAAGGCGACGAUCCGUAACUGGUCUGAGAGGAUGAUCAGUCACACUUGGAACUGAGACACGGUCCAGACUCCUACGGGAGGCAGCAGUGGGGAAUAUUGGACAAUGGGCGAAAGCCUGAUCCAGCCAUGCCGCGUGUGUGAAGAAGGUCUUCGGAUUGUAAAGCACUUUAAGUUGGGAGGAAGGGCAGUAAGUUAAAUACCUUGCUGUUUUUGACGUUACCGACAGAAUAAGCACCGGCUAACUCUGUGCCAGCAGCCGCGGUAAUACAGAGGGUGCACAGGCGUUAAAUCCGGGGAAUUUACCUGGGGCGUUAAAAGCCGCGGCGUAAGGNUGGUAUGGCAAAGUUUCGGNAUUGUUAAAAGGCCCCGGGGUUCCACAACCUNGGAACUUGGUUCCCAAAACUUGGCAAAGCUAAAAUACCGGGAACAAGGGUGCGNUCGACAUUUCCNANGUGNUUACCGGGUGAANUGCUUAAAUUUCGGAAGGGACCCCAUUUGGCGAAGGCAACCACCUUGACUUGGUAUCUUGGACCCUUGAAGGGUUCNAAANCUUGGANAGCACCCUGGAUUNAUACCCGCUUGUUAUCCACCCGUAACAAUAAAUCNC